rnacentral:rRNA from 1 species
GCAGCCUGCCGCGUGUGUGAAGAAGGCCUUCGGGUUGUAAAGCACUUUCAGCGAGGAGGAAAGGUUAGUAGUUAAUACCUGCUAGCUGUGACGUUACUCGCAGAAGAAGCACCGGCUAACUCCGUGCCAGCAGCCGCGGUAAUACGGAGGGUGCGAGCGUUAAUCGGAAUUACUGGGCGUAAAGCGUGCGCAGGCGGUUUGUUAAGCGAGAUGUGAAAGCCCCGGGCUCAACCUGGGAACCGCAUUUCGAACUGGCAAACUAGAGUCUUGUAGAGGGGGGUAGAAUUCCAGGUGUAGCGGUGAAAUGCGUAGAGAUCUGGAGGAAUACCGGUGGCGAAGGCGGCCCCCUGGACAAAGACUGACGCUCAGGCACGAAAGCGUGGGGAGCAAACAGGAUUAGAUACCCUGGUAGUCCACGCCGUAAACGAUGUCUACUCGGAGUUUGGUGUCUUGAACACUGGGCUCUCAAGCUAACGCAUUAAGUAGACCGCCUGGGGAGUACGGCCGCAAGGUUAAAACUCAAAUGAAUUGACGGGGGCCCGCACAAGCGGUGGAGCAUGUGGUUUAAUUCGAUGCAACGCGAAGAACCUUACCUACUCUUGACAUCCAGAGAACUUUCCAGA